rnacentral:rRNA from 1 species
UCUUGCGACCAUACCACGUUGAAAGCAUGUUAUCCCGUCCGAUCUGGCGAGUUAAUUCAACGUUGGGCCUUCUUAGUGCCAGGAACGCAGACGUCCUGGGAAUAGCCCCGGUUUAUUAUGCC